rnacentral:rRNA from 1 species
GGCCCUACGGGAGGCAGCAGUGGGGGAUAUUGCACAAUGGGGGAAACCCUGAUGCAGCGACGCCGCGUGUGGGAAGACGGUCCUCUGGAUUGUAAACCACUGUCCCCAGGGACGAAGAUGACGGUACCUGGGGAGGAAGCUCCGGCUAACUACGUGCCAGCAGCCGCGGUAAUACGUAGGGGGCAAGCGUUAUCCGGAUUUACUGGGUGUACAGGGGGCGUAGACGGUGCGUCAAGUCUGAAGUGAAAGCCCGGGGCUUAACCCCGGGACUGCUUUGGAAACUGGCGCGCUAGAGUGCUGGAGAG